GGGGAUUUAGCUCAAUGGUAGAGCGCUUGCCUAACAAUUGCAAGACCCUGGGUUCAAUCCCCA
rnacentral:tRNA from 1 species